rnacentral:rRNA from 1 species
GAUGAACGCUGGCGGCGUGCCUAAUACAUGCCAGUCGAGCGAACAGACGAGGAGCUUGCUCCUCUGACGUUAGCGGCGGACGGGUGAGUAACACGUGGAUAACCUACCUAUAAGACUGGGAUAACUUCGGGAAACCGGAGCUAAUACCGGAUAAUAUAUUGAACCGCAUGGUUCAAUAGUGAAAGACGGUUUUGCUGUCACUUAUAGAUGGAUCCGCGCCGCAUUAGCUAGUUGGUAAGGUAACGGCUUACUAAGGCAACGAUGCGUAGCCGACCUGAGAGGGUGAUCGGCCACACUGGAACUGAGACACGGUCCAGACUCCUACGGGAGGCAGCAGUAGGGAAUCUUCCGCAAUGGGCGAAAGCCUGACGGAGCAACGCCGCGUGAGUGAUGAAGGUCUUCGGAUCGUAAAACUCUGUUAUUAGGGAAGAACAAAUGUGUAAGUAACUAUGCACGUCUUGACGGUACCUAAUCAGAAAGCCACGGCUAACUACGUG